rnacentral:rRNA from 1 species
GAUGAACGCUGGCGGCCCGCCUCAUGCUUGUCUGUCAAGCGAACAGAUGACGAGCUUGCUCCUCUGACGUUCGCAGUGGACGCGGUGAGUGACACGUGGAUAACCUACCUAUCAUACUGGCAUAACUUCGGUAACCCGGAGCUUGUACCGUAUAAUAUAUUGGACCGCCUGGUUCUAUAGUGAAAGACGGUUUUGCUGCCUCUUCUCCAUGGAUCCGCGCCGCAUUAGCUAGCUGGUUAGGUAGCGGCUUACCAUGGCGGCGAUGCGUAUCCGAGCUGGCACGGUGAUCGGCCCCUCUGGAGCUGACACACGGCCCAAACUCAUACCGGACGUGCCCCUACGGAAUCUUCGGCCCUGGGAGAGAGCCUGAUCGAUCUCCGCCGCGUGAGUAAUAAGUGUCUACUGAUCGAAGAACUCCGCUAUGAUGCAAGAACAAAUGUGUGCUCCACUGUGCGCGUCUUGACCGGACCUAUUCUUAGAGCCUCGGCUAUGUACGUGCCCUCCGCCGCGGGAAUGCUUAAGGGGCAAGCGGUAUCCCGAAUUAUUGGACGCCCCGCGCGCGUAAGCAGUCUUUUAAUUCUGAUGUGACUGCCCACGGCUCAACCGUGGAGGGUCAUUGGAAACUGGAAAACUUGAGUGCAGAAGAGGAAAGUGGAAUUCCAUGUGUAGCGGUGAAAUGCGCAGAGAUAUGGAGGAACACCAGUGGCGAAGGCGACUUUCUGGUCUGUAACUGACGCUGAUGUGCGAAAGCGUGGGGAUCAAACAGGAUUAGAUACCCUGGUAGUCCACGCCGUAAACGAUGAGUGCUAAGUGUUAGGGGGUUUCCGCCCCUUAGUGCUGCAGCUAACGCAUUAAGCACUCCGCCUGGGGAGUACGACCGCAAGGUUGAAACUCAAAGGAAUUGACGGGGACCCGCACAAGCGGUGGAGCACGUGGUUUAAUUCGAAGCAACGCGAAGAACCUUACCAAAUCUUGACAUCCUCUGACCCCUCUAGAGAUAGAGUUUUCCCCUUCGGGGGACAGAGAGACAGGUGGUGCACGGUCGUUGUCAGUUCGGGUCGUGAGACGGUGGGUUAAGUCCCGCAACGAGCGCCACCCUUAAGCUUAAUUGCCAUCAUGAAGUUGGGCACUCUAAGUUGACAGCCGGUGACAAGCGGGAAGAAGGGGGGGAGGCCGUCAAAUCAUCAUGCCCUUAUGAAUUGGGGGUCCCACGUGUUACCAUGGACAAUACAAAGGGCAGCGAAACCGCCAGGGCCAGCAAAUCCCAUAAAGCUGUUGUCAGCUCGGAUUGUAGUGUGCAACUCGGAGGAUACGAAGUCGGAAUCGGUAGUAAUGGUAGAUCAGCAUGAGGCGGUGAAUCCGUUCCCGGCUCGA